GAUGAACGCUGGCGGCGUGCCUAAUACAUGCAAGUCGAGCGAACAGACGAGGAGCUUGCUCCUCUGACGUUAGCGGCGGACGGGUGAGUAACACGUGGAUAACCUACCUAUAAGACUGGGAUAACUUCGGGAAACCGGAGCUAAUACCGGAUAAUAUAUUGAACCGCAUGGUUCAAUAGUGAAAGACGGUUUUGCUGUCACUUAUAGAUGGAUCCGCGCCGCAUUAGCUAGUUGGUAAGGUAACGGCUUACCAAGGCGACGAUGCGUAGCCGACCUGAGAGGGGGAUCGCCCACACGGGAACUGAGACACGGUCCAGACUCCUACGGGAGGCAGCAGUAGGGAAUCUUCCGCAAUGGGCGAAAGCCUGACGGAGCAACGCGGCGUGAGUGAUGAAGGUCUUCGGAUCGUAAAACUCUGUUAUUAGGGAAGAACAAAGGGGUAAGUAACUAUGCACGUCUUGACGGUACCUAAUCAGAAAGCCACGGCUAACUACGUG
rnacentral:rRNA from 1 species